AACCGGGGCUAAUACCGGAUGGUUGUUUGACCGCAUGGUUCAAACAUAAAAGGUGGCUUCGGCUACCACUUACAGAUGGACCCGCGGCGCAUUAGCUAGUUGUGAGGUAACGGCUCACCAAGGCAACGAUGCGUAGCCGACCUGAGAGGGUGAUCGGCCACACUGGGACUGAGACAGGCCCAGACUCCUACGGGAGGCAGCAGUAGGGAAUCUUCCGCAAUGGACGAAAGUCUGACGGAGCAACGCGCGUGAGUGAUGAAGGUUUUCGGAUCGUAAAGCUCUGUUGUUAGGGAAGAACAAGUACCGUUCGAAUAGGGCGUACCUUGACGGUACCUAACCAGAAAGCCACGGCUAACUACGUGCCAGCAGCCGCGGUAAUACGUAGGUGGCAAGCGUUGUCGGAAUUAUUGGGCGUAAAGGGCUCGCAGGCGGUUUCUUAAGUCUGAUGUGAAAGCCCCCGGCUCAACCGGGGAGGGUCAUGGAAACUGGGGAACUUGAGUGCAGAAGAGGAGAGUGGAAUUCCACGUGUAGCGGUGAAAUGCGUAGAAUGUGGAGGAAACCAGUGGCGAAGGCGACUCUCUGGUCUGUAACUGACGCUGAGGAGCGAAAGCGUGGGGAGCGAACAGAUUAGAUACCCUGGUAGUCCACGCCGUAAACGAUGAGUGCUAAGUGUUAGGGGGUUUCCGCCCCUUAGUGCUGCGCUAACGCAUUAAGCACUCCGCCUGGGGAGUACGGUCGCAAGACUGAAACUCAAAGGAAUUGACGGGGGCCCGCACAAGCGGUGGAGCAUGUGGUUAAUUCGAAGCAACGCGAAGAACCUUACCAGGUCUUGACAUCCUCUGACAAUCCUAGAGAUAGGACGUCCCCUUCGGGGGCAGAGUGACAGGGGUGCAUGGUUGUCGUCAGCUCGUGUCGUGAGAUGUUGGGUUAAGUCCCGCAACGAGCGCAACCCUUGAUCUUAGUGCCAGCAUUCAGUUGGGCACUCUAAGGUGACUGCCGGUGACAAACCGGAGGAAGGUGGGGAUGACUCAAAUC
rnacentral:rRNA from 1 species